GACGAACGCUGGCGGCGUGCUUAACACAUGCAAGUCGAACGGAAAGGCCCUGCUUUUGUGGGGUGCUCGAGUGGCGAACGGGUGAGUAACACGUGAGUAACCUGCCCUUGACUUUGGGAUAACUUCAGGAAACUGGGGCUAAUACCGGAUAGGAGCUCCUGCUGCAUGGUGGGGGUUGGAAAGUUUCGGCGGUUGGGGAUGGACUCGCGGCUUAUCAGCUUGUUGGUGGGGUAGUGGCUUACCAAGGCUUUGACGGGUAGCCGGCCUGAGAGGGUGACCAGCCACAUUGGGACUGAGAUACGGCCCAGACUCCUACGGGAGGCAGCAGUGGGGAAUAUUGCACAAUGGGCGGAAGCCUGAUGCAGCAACGCCGCGUGCGGGAUGACGGCCUUCGGGUUGUAAACCGCUUUCGCCUGUGACGAAGCAUGAGUGACGGUAAUGGGUAAAGAAGCACCGGCUAACUACGUG
rnacentral:rRNA from 1 species